CUUCUUCUUCCUCGUCACAUGCUGCCCGCCAUGGCUGCGCCUACAGCUCUUCAAAAUGAUCAAAAGAUCCCAUCACUGCUGUCCGCCAUGGCUGCGUCUCCAAGCUCUUCAAACGAGCACGAGAUCCCGUCGCAUUGCUGCCCGUUGUUUCUUCUUCUUCUUCGCUCGUCGCUACUGCUGCUUCUCCUUCUUCAUCCGUCGAGUUGCUCCAGCCAUGGCUGCUGCCCGGUGCUACUGUUUCUCCUCCAUGUUUCACGUCGUUGCUGGCCUUCUCCGCUCGUCAUUGCUACUGUCUUCUUCUUCAGAUCGUCACCUGUUUGUUGCUUCUUCUUCUCCGACGCUGCUGCUGCGUUUCUCCAUUGUUGUGGCUGCUGCCCGUGUUGCUUCUUUGUCGUCGUCACUAUUACGACGCUGCUGCUGCUGCGUUUCUUCACUGCCAUGGCUGCUGCGGCGUUUCCUUCUUUGUCCUCUUCCAAACGACCAAACUACUUUCCAUUCGAGUUCGUCAUCGCUUCGAUCCGGUUAGUGGGUUUGAGUUUCAUUUUGUCCGUAUUUUGUUUUGAUAUUCUCGGAUCUAAAAUCGUUAAAUGUUUGAUUCUUGUUUUGUUCGUGUUUAUCAUUUAAUUAAUUAGUUUUUCCGUUUAUUUCAUGUGUUUUUAUUUAAUUUGUAAAAGAAAUUGUUAGUUUAAUUUUAAUGUUGUUAGAUU
rnacentral:lncRNA from 1 species